rnacentral:rRNA from 1 species
CGUAGGUGGCAAGCGUUGUCCGGAAUUAUUGGGCGUAAAGCGCGCGCAGACGGUUCCUUAAGUCUGAUGUCGAAAGCCCCCGGCUCAACCGGGGAAGGUCAUUGGAAACUGGGGAACUUGAGUGCAGAAGAGAAGAGCGGAAUUCCACGUGUAGCGGUGAAAUGCGUAGAGAUGUGGAGGAACACCAAUGGCGAAAACGGCUCUUUGGUCUGUAACUGACGCUGAGGCGCGAAAGCGUGGGGAGCAAACAGGAUUAGAUACCCUGGUAGUCCACGCCGUAAACGAUGAGUGCUAAGUGUUAGAGGGUUUCCGCCCUUUAGUGCUGCAGCUAACGCAUUAAGCACUCCGCCUGGGGAGUACGGCCGCAAGGCUG